rnacentral:rRNA from 1 species
GGAGGAAAGCAGGGGAUCGCAAGACCUUGCGCUCAUUGAGCGGCCGAUGCCUGAUUAGCUAGUUGGUGAGGUAAAGGCUUACCAAGGCGACGAUCAGUAGCUGGUCUGAGAGGACGACCAGCCACACUGGGACUGAGACACGGCCCAGACUCCUACGGGAGGCAGCAGUGGGGAAUUUUGGACAAUGGGGGAAACCCUGAUCCAGCCAUGCCACGUGAGUGAGGAAGGCCUUCGGGUUGUAAAGCUCUUUCAGCCGGAACGAAACGGUCACGGCUAAUACCUGUGACUACUGACGGUACCGGAAGAAGAAGCACCGGCUAACUACGUGCCAGCAGCCGCGGUAAUACGUAGGGUGCGAGCGUUAAUCGGAAUUACUGGGCGUAAAGCGUGCGCAGGCGGUUUUGUAAGUCAGAAGGGAAAUCCCCGGGCUUAACCUGGGAACUGCGUUUCAAAAAGGAAGCUAGAAGGGC